UUUCCGUAGGUGAACCUGCGGAAGGAUCAUUAUUGUAUAACCUAGGAUGGGGGUUUUUCGCUCACCCGCAAGCUCGUGCACAAUCGAAUGCGAUCACACACAUCGAUAUCAGCCCUAUGUGCACCACCGCGUGGGUCCCCCUGUGUGUAGAUUGGAGUGAAGCUAAAAUUUUAAAUAAAACUUUGUAUGAAGGGUAGAAUGUAUUUUUUAUCGAUGCGAACAGGCAAAGAAUACAACUUCAAACAACGGAACUCUUGGCACUCCCAUCGAUGAAGAACG
rnacentral:misc_RNA from 1 species